rnacentral:rRNA from 1 species
UACGAAGGGGGCUAGCGUUGUUCGGAAUCACUGGGCGUAAAGCGCACGUAGGCGGCUUGUUAAGUCGGGGGUGAAAGCCUGUGGCUCAACCACAGAAUUGCCUUCGAUACUGUUUGGCUUGAGUUUGGUAGAGGUUGGUGGAACUGCGAGUGUAGAGGUGAAAUUCGUAGAUAUUAGGAAGAACACCAGUGGCGAAGGCGGCUCACUGGCCCGGUACUGACGCUCAUGUGCGAAAGCGUGGGGAGCAAACAGG